rnacentral:rRNA from 1 species
GACGAACGCUGGCGGCGUGCUUAACACAUGCAAGUCGAACGGAAAGGCCUGCUUUCCCUUGUGGAUUGCGGGUACUCGAGUGGCGAACGGGUGAGUAACACGUGAGUGAUCUGCACCCAACUUGGGUAUAAGCCUGGGAAACUGGGUCUAAUUCUCGAUAGGACUGCAGGGUGGUGCCGGUGGUGGAAAACGAUGUUCUAGUGGUUGGGGAUGAGCUCGCGGCCUAUCAGCUUGUUGGUGGGGUAAUGGCCUACCAAGGCGGCGACGGGUAGCCGGCCUGAGAGGGUGGACGGCGACAUUGGGACUGGGUUACGGCCCAGACUCCUACGAGAGGCAGCCGUGGUGAAUAUUGCACAAUGGGCGGAAGCCUGCUGCACCGACUCCGCGUGGGGGAUGUCGGCCUUCGGGUUGUAAGCUCCUUUCGACCGCGAGGAAGCCACCUGGUUGGAAGGGUGGUGACGGUAGUGGUAGAAGAAGCACCGGCUAACUACGUG